rnacentral:rRNA from 1 species
UACGGAGGGGGCUAGCGUUGUUCGGAAUUACUGGGCGUAAAGCGCACGUAGGCGGCUUUGUAAGUUAGAGGUGAAAGCCCAGGGCUCAACCCUGGAAUUGCCUUUAAGACUGCAUCGCUUGAACAUCGGAGAGGUAAGUGGAAUUCCGGAGUGUAGAGGUGAAAUUCGUAGAUAUUCGGAAGAACACCAGUGGCGAAGGCGACUUACUGGACGAUUGUUGACGCUG